UGAAACUGAAAGCCUUCGUAUAUCAGAUCCAGUAAAAGGAGACGGAGAGUUUGUAUAGUUUUAAACACGUUUUGUUCAAGUUACAACAUGGUAAAGAAAGCAAUUCUUGUGACAUUUUUCAUCGUCUGUUUUUUGGUCAUGGAGGCCGUGUCUACACCACGCCUUGUGACAACCGAACAGCCGCUGAUUGACUUUGAGCUUUACGGACCACCGAGGAAUCCUUGAAGGAACAACCCCUUCCUCUGCUGUCAUUCCGAACAAAACCAGGAGUUAGGAAGACAUGAAUAUACUACAUUCUCUGCAUAUGCGUAGAUAACAACUGCAAUAGAGGAACGUUUGUGAUUU